rnacentral:lncRNA from 1 species
ACCAUGGUUUUGCCAAUCUUUCAAGAGGUAUGGCUGCCGUUCAGAGUUUCAAACCGCGUUGAAAGUGAAAAGGAAACAUAUUCUUAGAAAAACAAAAACGGCAGAAAACGAAAAGAAAGGUUAGACAUGGCCGACCUACCUACCUUUACCUUGCAAAUUUAGCUUCGUUGACUUCGUUGAUCUUGUGCCAUUCAUUAACUUCUCAAAAUUAACAGCACCAGAUGGGUAUCUUGUGCGUGGAAGCUAAGCUCAGACUGCAGGUAGCGAGUGUUCCUCAAGCUGAACAGCUGGGGACUUGCUCUUUUUGCAAGUAAAAAGCUUACCUCCUCCUCUCUGUAAGGUAGUAUUUAGUUACUGUAUUAGGACAACAUGAAUAGAGGUGAUAGAAGUAAGAAAUAUCUCUUACUAUGGACCACACAGCGACUUCUCCUUCAU